rnacentral:rRNA from 1 species
CCUACGGGGGGCAGCAGUGGGGGAUAUUGCACAAUGGGGGGAACCCUGAUGCAGCGACACCGCGUGGGUGAAGGAGCGUUUCGGCGCGUAAAGCCCUAUCGGCAGGGAAGAAGGAGGACGGUACCUGACUAAGAAGCCCCGGCUAACUACGUGCCAGCAGCCGCGGUAAUAUGUAGGGGGCAAGCGUUAUCCGGAUUUACUGGGUGUAAAGGGAGCGCAGACGGCAGUGCAAGUCUGGAGUGAAAGCCCGGGGCCCAACCCCGGAACUGCUCUGGAAACUGGGCGGCUAGAGUACUGGA